UACGGAGGAUCCGAGCGUUAUCCGGAUUUAUUGGGUUUAAAGGGUGCGUAGGUGGCCUGUUAAGUCAGGGGUGAAAGACGGUAGCUCAACUAUCGCAGUGCCCUUGAUACUGUAGGGCUUGAGUAUAGAUGCCGUUGGCGGAAUAUGACAUGUAGUGGUGAAAUACAUAGAGAUGUCAUAGAACACCGAUUGCGAAGGCAGCUAACGAAACUAUAACUGACACUGAGGCUCGAAAGUGCGGGGAUCAAACAGG
rnacentral:rRNA from 1 species